rnacentral:rRNA from 1 species
UACGGAGGGGGCUAGCGUUGUUCGGAAUUACUGGGCGUAAAGCGCACGUAGGCGGCUUUGUAAGUUAGAGGUGAAAGCCCGGGGCUCAACCCCGGAAUUGCCCUUAAGACUGCAUCGCUAGAAUUGUGGAGAGGUGAGUGGAAUUCCGAGUGUAGAAGUGAAAUUCGUAGAUAUUCGGAAGAACACCAGUGGCGAAGGCGGCAUCCUGGACCGACACUGACGCUGAGGAGCGAAAGCCAGGGGAGCAAACGGG